AUCCAGCUGACGAGUCUCAAUCAGGACGAAACGCGCGUCCUGAAU
rnacentral:hammerhead_ribozyme from 1 species